rnacentral:rRNA from 1 species
AGGUAGUUGGUGGGGUAAUGGCCCACCAAGCCUGCGAUCGGUACGGGCAGUGGGAGCUGUAGCCCGGAGUUGGGGACUGAGACAAGGCCCCAGGCCCUACGGGGCGCAGCAGGCGCGAAACCUCUGCAAUGCGGGAAACCGUGACAGGGGGAUUCCAAGUGCUCAUGCAUUGCAUGGGCUGUUCUUUGGUCUAAGUAACCAGAGGAGUAAGGGCUGGGCAAGACCGGUGCCAACCGCCGCGGUAAUACCGGCAGCUCGAGUGGUAGCCGCGAUUAUUGGGCCUAAAACGUUCGUAGCCGGAUAAGUAAGUCUUUGGUUAAAUCCUACGACUUAACCGUGGGAAAUCUAGAGAUACUGCUUGUCUUGAGACCGGGAGAGGUUGGAGGUACUCCCAGGGUAGGGGUGAAAUCCUGUAAUCCUGGGGGGACCACCUGUGGCGAAGGCGUCCAACUGGAACGGCUCUGACGGUGAGGGACGAAACCUAGGGGAGCGAGCCGGAUUAGAUACCCGGGUAGUCCUAGGCGUAAAUGAUGCGAGUUAAGUGUGGGGGCAUCUACGAGAUGGCCCUGUGCUGUAGGGUAGCCGUUAAACUCGCUGCCUGGGGAGUACGGUCGCAAGGCUGAAACUUAAAGGAAUUGGCGGGGGAGCACCACAAGAGGUGGAGGCUGCGGUUCAAUUGGAUUCAACGCCGGG